UCUCAUCAUCGACAUCAUCGAAACUCCUUUCGAUGGACCAGAACUCUUCUGAUUCAGAUAAUUAGAAUGAUCGAUCAUCAAUAUCAUUCUAAUUGCUCCCAAAAUCCAUCAGUGACACCUAACAGUAUGUGGUGGCAACCCAUCAGAACUGAAGAUGAACCUCUCAGUGCAGCUACCUGUGUGAUUGAGUUCCUCUAUCAUGAGUCCC
rnacentral:lncRNA from 1 species